ensembl:lncRNA
CGUGUAAAUAUGCAGAUGUAGACAUGAAAGGAGAAAAUCUGGAAAGCUUGCAUUUUUGUUUAUUUAAAUGACCCACAGAUACACGCACAGUUACUACUGCAUUACAGAUAAAUGAGCUUGUCGAGAAUUAGGGGGUACGUUCCAAAUGCUGCAUUUUAACUGAAAGCAAACUAAACUGUUUGAAGUCACUCAGACUUUUGGGUAUGUUUCUGUUUUUCCUCAACACUUCAUCAUAAAAUCAAGACUUUUCUAACAGUCAUUUGCACUUGGAAUACAAAUGUUUACACAAUGCAAUCUAGUUUCAAUAUAUAUUUAAAUGUUUUCAGGCGUGAACAGAAAGUUUUGCAACUUUGCACAUUUAAAAAAUAAAUCCCACCGUAAGGUCUUUUUUUCUGUCUUUUCCCCCCAAUUCUGACAUAUUCUAUUUAUCUGCUUUGUGUCUAUGCUUGAUGAUACUCGACUGCAUUUGGUGAUCCAUCACACUCUCCUGUUCAUCUAGUAUUGGCUGCUUCUUUUUUCUUUUUCUUUUGUUUUUUGCAUGUUGCUGCAUUAGCUUUUAUCUUUAUUUAAACUGUCACUUAUUUUUCGCUAUUGGUAAAAAUGUUGGAACCCCUUGAAAAUAGGGGUGGCUAAUUAUCAGGAUUUAGCACAAUACCAACUGUCACACUGGUUUGAAAAUUGGGCACACGCUGUGUCUGCGAUUGUAACCGUAACAUACUGUUAAGGCGAUGUUCACUAUCGCCUUGUCGUGACAGAGGGAGUGUUCUCCCUCAGAGACAAAUCGCUGUGAGCCAAGAAAGCCCACUGUGAUUUCUCCACAGUAUGGCACAUAUGUGUGCGCGAGUGUUGGUGUACAGCCUUGAUGUCAUUUUCCUUCUGAAGGUUGAGCUUAUCCCAUUAUGUCUGGAGCAAUGCCCACAGGAAGGCCAUGAAAUGCGUGCGCACACAUGCGAGAUUAUGAGUGUUUAAGUGUGCAUUUGCACAGACCGUGUACUUGUGUGUGUAAGGUCACAGGGUAUGCAGCUGAGUUGUACCCAGCACUGAGCACACAAUACUUGAACCUUAUG